rnacentral:pre_miRNA from 1 species
AUUCUACUCCCUCCGUUGCACAAUACAUGCCUUCUAUUUGUCAAAAUAUAUAUGUAUCUAGAUAUGUUUUAGUAUAUAGGUACAUCCAUUUUUGGACAAAUGGAAGUCAAGUAUUUUGGAACGGAGGGAAUACACA